GCCUGGCUGGCUCAGGGGCAGAGCGUGCAACUCUGGAUCUCAGGGUUGUGAGUUCGAGCCUCAUGUUGGGUG
rnacentral:tRNA from 1 species